UACGUAGGGGGCAAGCGUUGUCCGGAAUCAUUGGGCGUAAAGAGCGUGUAGGCGGCCCGAUAAGUCCGCCGUGAAAGUCCAGGGCUCAACCCUGGAAUGCCGGUGGAAACUGUCGGGCUGGAGUCCGGAAGAGGCGAGUGGAAUUCUUGGUGUAGCGGUGAAAUGCGUAGAUAUCAAGAGGAACACCUGAGGUGAAGACGGGUUGCUGGGCUGACACUGACGCUGAGGCGCGAAAGCCAGGGGAGCGAACGGG
rnacentral:rRNA from 1 species